rnacentral:rRNA from 1 species
CAGUCGCCACGGUAAUACGAAGGGGGCUAGCGUUGUCCGGAAUUAUUGGGCGUAAAGGGCUCGCAGGCGGUUUCUUAAGUCUGAUGUGAAAGCCCCCGGCUCAACCGGGGAGGGUCAUUGGAAACUGGGAAACUUGAGUGCAGAAGAGGAGAGUGGAAUUCCACGUGUAGCGGUGAAAUGCGUAGAGAUGUGGAGGAACACCAGUGGCGAAGGCGACUCUCUGGUCUGUAACUGACGCUGAGGAGCGAAAGCGUGGGGAGCGAACAGGAUUAGAUACCCGGGUAGUCCCUGUCUCUUAUAC